rnacentral:lncRNA from 1 species
UUUAGUUCACUUCCAUAAAUGUACUGGAGGUUCUACAGUACACUAUAUAUGGGAUGAAGUACAGAGGUCCCACCUUUGGAUUACAUAGUGGUAAUAAAUGACGAGGAGUGGACUUGCCUUUUCUAAAACGUUUACCUGUAUCUUCAGUUGAAACUCAUAAUGCAUCAAGAGAUUGUCUAUUGCAGUACAGUAUAGACCUUUGGCUCGGGAGUGUUCCUAUUAAUGCUUCUAGUUCACUUCCAUAAAUGUACUGGAGGUUCUACAGUACACUAUAUAUGGGAUGAAGUACAGGGGUCCCACCUUUGGAUUACAUAGUGGUAAUAAAUGACGAGGAGUAGACUUGUCUUUUCUUAAACGUUUACCUGUAUCUUCAGUUGAAACUCAUAAUGCAUCAAGAGAUUGUCUAUUGCAGUACAGUAUAGACCUUUGGCUCGGGAGUGUUCCUAUUAAUGCUUCUAGUUCACUUCCAUAAAUGUACUGGAGGUUCUACAGUACACUAUAUAUGGGAUGAAGUACAGAGGUCCCACCUUUGGAUUACAUAGUGGUAAUAAAUGACGAGGAGUGGACUUGCCUUUUCUAAAACGUUUACCUGUAUCUUCAGUUGAAACUCAUAAUGCAUCAAGAGAUUGUCUAUUGCAGUACAGUAUAGACCUUUGGCUCGGGAGUGUUCCUAUUAAUGCUUCUAGUUCACUUCCAUAAAUGUACUGGAGGUUCUACAGUACACUAUAUAUGGGAUGAAGUACAGAGGUCCCACCUUUGGAUUACAUAGUGGUAAUAAAUGACGAGGAGUGGACUUGCCUUUUCUAAAACGUUUACCUGUAUCUUCAGUUGAAACUCAUAAUGCAUCAAGAGAUUGUCUAUUGCAGUACAGUAUAGACCUUUGGCUCGGGAGUGUUCCUAUUAAUGCUUCUAGUUCACUUCCAUAAAUGUACUGGAGGUUCUACAGUACACUAUAUAUGGGAUGAAGUACAGAGGUCCCACCUUUGGAUUACAUAGUGGUAAUAAAUGACGAGGAGUGGACUUGCCUUUUCUAAAACGUUUACCUGUAUCUUCAGUUGAAACUCAUAAUGCAUCAAGAGAUUGUCUAUUGCAGUACAGUAUAGACCUUUGGCUCGGGAGUGUUCCUAUUAAUGCUUCUAGUUCACUUCCAUAAAUGUACUGGAGGUUCUACAGUACACUAUAUAUGGGAUGAAGUACAGAGGUCCCACCUUUGGAUUACAUAGUGGUAAUAAAUGACGAGGAGUGGACUUGCCUUUUCUAAAACGUUUACCUGUAUCUUCAGUUGAAACUCAUAAUGCAUCAAGAGAUUGUCUAUUGCAGUACAGUAUAGACCUUUGGCUCGGGAGUGUUCCUAUGAAUGCUUCUAGUUCACUUCCAUAAAUGUACUGGAGGUUCUACAGUACACUAUAUAUGGGAUGAAGUACAGAGGUCCCACCUUUGGAUUACAUAGUGGUAAUAAAUGACGAGGAGUGGACUUGCCUUUUCUAAAACGUUUACCUGUAUCUUCAGUUGAAACUCAUAAUGCAUCAAGAGAUUGUCUAUUGCAGUACAGUAUAGACCUUUGGCUCGGGAGUGUUCCUAUUAAUGCUUCUAGUUCACUUCCAUAAAUGUACUGGAGGUUCUACAGUACACUAUAUAUGGGAUGAAGUACAGAGGUCCCACCUUUGGAUUACAUAGUGGUAAUAAAUGACGAGGAGUGGACUUGCCUUUUCUAAAACGUUUACCUGUAUCUUCAGUUGAAACUCAUAAUGCAUCAAGAGAUUGUCUAUUGCAGUACAGUAUAGACCUUUGGCUCGGGAGUGUUCCUAUUAAUGCUUCUAGUUCACUUCCAUAAAUGUACUGGAGGUUCUACAGUACACUAUAUAUGGGAUGAAGUACAGAGGUCCCACCUUUGGAUUACAUAGUGGUAAUAAAUGACGAGGAGUGGACUUGCCUUUUCUAAAACGUUUACCUGUAUCUUCAGUUGAAACUCAUAAUGCAUCAAGAGAUUGUCUAUUGCAGUACAGUAUAGACCUUUGGCUCGGGAGUGUUCCUAUUAAUGCUUCUAGUUCACUUCCAUAAAUGUACUGGAGGUUCUACAGUACACUAUAUAUGGGAUGAAGUACAGAGGUCCCACCUUUGGAUUACAUAGUGGUAAUAAAUGACGAGGAGUGGACUUGCCUUUUCUAAAACGUUUACCUGUAUCUUCAGUUGAAACUCAUAAUGCAUCAAGAGAUUGUCUAUUGCAGUACAGUAUAGACCUUUGGCUCGGGAGUGUUCCUAUUAAUGCUUCUAGUUCACUUCCAUAAAUGUACUGGAGGUUCUACAGUACACUAUAUAUGGGAUGAAGUACAGGGGUCCCACCUUUGGAUUACAUAGUGGUAAUAAAUGACGAGGAGUAGACUUGUCUUUUCUUAAACGUUUACCUGUAUCUUCAGUUGAAACUCAUAAUGCUUCAUUGAAGAUUUCUACCUCCAAAUUAUUCAUAUGCAUCCUAGCUUUGCCUCUGGUUCAGAUUCACAAUGUGGCUGGAGAUGCUACUGACAUGGGCUUCCUUCAUAUUAAAUGCAUAUCAAAUGAGCUCUUGAUUAUUAUAAUGGUUAGUACCGUACAAGUUGAUCUGAACAUAAUUUUUAAUACAUACCUCUAUUCAGUGUGUCUCAGUUGAGUGGUCUGAGUAAAGGUCACAACUGUUCAAACUAAGUUACUCAAGGGACUUCUUUGUGAUAUAAAAGCUCUGUUGAUUUAUAUUGCUCACUAAAUUCAUUAAUUAGGACAAUGUCAGCUUUUCUGUAACUGGAAGACCAAUAAAGAAAUUGUAGUGAAA